AUUAAUUAGUUCAUUCGAUUUAUUUAUUUUUUUGUUUAGUGAAUAAUUUUGACAAUGAUAUAGAGAAUAAUUUUAGAAUUUUAGUUUUCAAUAAGUUGGACAAUUUUAACGCAUUAGUACUAUUGAAUAAUAUUAAACUUUUAAGCUAAAUUUACUAUAUUAACCAUAAUUCAAUAAUGGUAUUUGCAGAACAAUUUCAACAAACUAGAAAUUUCUAAUUUAUGAAAGCAAAAUUUUAGAAGCAGUCGGAUGUGUGGGCUUACUGGCAGAUUCCAUCGACCAUUGGCCACCCUACCCUUCCAAUGAAUGGCUUAUCUUCAUAAAAGACUCGAACAACUACCCCAUCCCUGACACUUAUAUCACCUGUCUCUGUUUUAUCCUUUUGCCAUUUGGUUCAUUUGGAAAAACCGUAACGAUGCUUGCUUCAACUCUUCUCGCCAACAACUCUCUUACCACAGCACCGUAUGCAUUCCAUCCAUGAGUUCUACUUCUUCUCCGAUGCCCAUACAUCGGUGAAGAAAUCUGUGGACAUUCCAGUAAAAUGGUAUCCUCCCGAGAACGGUUAAUUGGUUUAAGUUGAACAUUGAUGGAGCUUUCCAAUCUCUUUCUUCCAAUGGAGGUUUAUGCUACAACAAUAAUGAUAAUUGUUCAAGAAAUUCAAAAUAAAACUUGCUUGAUUUAGAGGCACGAUAAUACGCUUCUUGAAGAUAGUUGGAGUCUCUCACGAGCAAACAGAAGAACUAGUUACAACUCUAUCUUUGAGAUUCAACUAAGCCACAAAAUAAGUAGCAUUCAAGAAUAUUGUUCUUCUAUUCUUGAAUCGGUGAUUUCACUAUUUGAUCAAUGUCUCUCAAGUGUUUUUCAAGCAUAAAGUAGUUUUGAGUGCUUGUUUUUCCAAACAAAAGAAACACUAUUUAUAGGUUAAAAUUUUUAUGCAAGUGAAAAGUACUCCCUCUAUUUCGAAAUAAGUGAAUUGUUGGGGCUAUUUUUUUGUAUUUCAAAAUAAGUAAAUCAUUAAAUUUUUUUUCAAAUUUAUCCUUAUGAUUUGACAACCAAUUAACUUUUGAAAAGAUAUUAUAAGGUCAAAUUUUUUUUUUUGGAAUAAAAGUAAAAAGUUAUGUUAAAUUUAUGUCUUUAAUGUUUUUUCCUUAAUAUGUAUGCUAAAAUUCAACAAUUUAUUUAUUAUGAAACGAAGAGAAUAUUAAUUAAGCAAUAAUUAAUAGGUUCAUGAAUAAAACUUAUCUUUCUUUCAAGUUUCAAGAACCUAAAAUGUAAAUGAAUUUAUAAUUGUUAAUGUAUUUGUAACUCAAGAUGCAUUUGUUUCAAUUAUAAUUUCACAUUGAUUUUCUUUGUAACUCAAAAUGCAUUUAUUUCAAUAUUAAUUGAAACAUAAAAAAUUUUUAAUCGAUGAACUUGUUUCAAAAAUUUAUUGAACAUAAAUUUCAGUAAUAACAGUUUAGCUGGGAGGGUGCAUACGAGAUCAUGAAGGUAUAUGCUACUUGGGUUUUGCUGGCAGCUCCUCAGCUUCCACUUGUCUCGAAAUGGAAUUUAAAGCUCUACUUUUGGGGCUCCAAUUAGCAUACUCUCACCAUAUUUACCCGCUUGAGGUGGAAACUGUUUCGGUGGAUCUACUUCGUUUACUUAACAAAACUAACUCCCAGCUUUCCUCUCUUGUAUCUCACAGCAGGUUCUAUUUGAAGAAACUGGCGAAUCCUCUGCUUCGCCACAACUUCGGGGAAGCAAAUAGAGUAGCUCAUCUGCUAGCUAUGGAAGGAAAUGGAAGAUUGGAUACUAGUCCUGUAGUUUUUUGGUCCCAACCAUCUUUUGUAA
rnacentral:lncRNA from 1 species